UUGACAGGACAGCAAAGGGAGAGGGCUACAGUGGCAGGAAAGGGAUGGGAAAACCAUGGCAGAUUCACCCUUCUGCAUGGAACUUCGAGACCUCGGUUGACCACAGGUCACUGAAACUGUGGAAAGAGAAACCACGGAUAAGGGGGAACCAGUGUACAAGACAGCCUUCCCAGCUGUCCCAGCUGAGCACAAUCCACAGCCAAGCCACCAGGUGACCGCAGCUGCGUGAGGGAGCCCAACUGAAACCGCAGAAGAACCACCUGGCCAACCCACAGAACCAAUCUACCGUAUUGCCUGGCAUAUUUCUGCUCUCAACACAUUUUUAUUGACAUAAACUUUAUCUUCCCAACAACCCUGUCAGAGUCCAACCUGCAGCAGCUUCCAGCCCCUUCCACAGUGUUUCAUAUGGCAGUGUCACAGAUGGAAGGUGCUGGAUCCUUGAAUCGCUGCUAAGAGGACAGUCACCGAGGAGCACCUCCAGACCCACCUCACACUGUGACUGUGGCACAUAGAGCAGAAUUCUUAUGUUAAAUGUGGGCGUGGUUUGACUGCACCUCCAUCCCUGUUUGGGGCUCCACUGUCAAAGCAUCUUUGAGCAGCUUGCAUUCUGCUGUGGUUGAAAAAUGUAGCAUGUGGAUGACUGAGAGGUGGGUAAGUAGGGGAUCAAAUCAAGCCCAGAUGUCAGCCAGUCUCCCCCGACCGAAGCCGCCAGUUGGGACAGAAUUCAGAGGAAGAGCCCCCAGUGGGGGGGCGGUCCCAGGAGCUGAACAUAAACAACCCCAUUGUUGACUGCCCACCAGGCAUGGCUGCGCUUGCGUCUGCUCCACGGUAAGAGCGGCUGCAGAGGCAGCUGGAGCCCAACGUGGGCUUUUGUCUCCCUUCUCUCUGAAGUCAUCCUGGGACACAGGUGUGCAUCCCUCACAGGCAGCCGACAGAGAAGAUGAAUCAGCUUCCCUGAAAGACGUGCCCCAGCGCAGUCUGUCAGCUGAAACUCGUCUGAAGGAGCACAGUUUCCCUCCUGACCACAGCUAAUGAGAAUGUGUGGCUUGCCCGGAGAAGAAUCUGUGUUAUUCUUUAAAGGAACAAUGCUAACCACAGAUGUGCAACAUCUGGCAUGCGGUAGGGAUUUCCCUGAAUGAGGAGAAUGUAACUGGACCAGCCAGCACACGAGCUGCCUUUGGGUCCAGGCAGGUAUUUGCCUACUUUCAGCUGUGGAUUUUGGUUCUCAGAAGUCCAAAGGCCUCUUUAUGCCACUUGGCAUUUUUAUAAUAUGCCUCCUCCCCCUAUUUAUCUUCUAUGGCUCUUGACGAAUAUGUUGAGACACCCAAAGGCCUAUAUCCCUGCCUUUAGGUCUUUGCUCAUGCCAUUCUCUGUGGCUAUUCUGUCAUCCCUUUUUUUUUUUUUUUAAUGAAUAUCUAAUUUGUUAGGACUCUUUCCAUUGCAAUUAAGAGAAGCCCAAUCCAACUUGCCUUGCAAUAAAAGCUAAAGUUAUUGAGGAAUGUAACUUAAAAUCCAGGACCAUUUAACUUCAAAAUCAGGCAUAGUGGGAUCCAGAAGUUCAGACGAUUUUUCCAGGACCCGGUCUUAGUCUAUUUCUCCAUGUCUAAACUAUGUUUCCUUCUACAUUGGCUGUAGGUCCAGGUAGGCACUAGAUGGGCUGACUUGGCAGCUCCAGGCUUAUGUCCUAUAGGUUAGUUAUUCUACAGAAAGAGAUUGUCUCUUUUCCAAUAAUCCUGGGGAUGGGGCUGAUUAGACCAACUUGAGACAUACACAGGUUCACUUAUGAAUGAAUCCCUGUAAUCAAGGGGCUGGGAUUCCCAUUAUUUCUCAGGCCUGGGUCCCUUGCUCAUCCCUAAGGCCAGGGAGAAGGGUCUUUCCCCAAAAGAAAUCAGGACCCUAUUAUGAAAAGAAGGUGGAAUGGAUACGGGACAGGGAAAAUCAACAGACAUACAAUCCACAGCCAGCUUCUCAACCUCAAGUUCAUUCUCAGGCCUUUCUAUAACUCUGACCUUCCCAUGGAGGCUUUCCUGGUGACCCCAGUCCAUAGUCUCCUUUCCUGUCAUUGUUACACUUUACAGUUGACUAUGGGUUUGUAUAUACCUCCUAUGUUUCUUCCAUGGGAUUGUAGGGUCUUCUUAGGUGAUACAGGACAUGUGGUGGGAUGUGGGUAGGAUAUGGGGGCUAGAAAUCAUACCGUAUUUCCUUAUUUGAAACUCAGUGAAAUAAGAUGGAAACAAGGCAGCUGUGAGUUGAGGAAAACAUUUACAACAGUUAACGAGCAGUUUGGAACAGGGAAGAAAUGGGCCUUAGUGCCAAGGACCAGGGGCUAACUCUGCUUGUGUGUAUGAGUGCCCCCCCAUCCCAUGUUCCCCAGUAUCUGCCUCCACGUUCAGGUAGGAUGCCCAGACUUGCCACACUUUGGGGCUGGCUGAGCACCUGUGAGGUCUUGGUGGCCAGUGCUCUGUGCCUUAUAUUUCUCCUGUACCACCACGUGUGGUGAGCACUUUGUUGAGGCCCUAAUAAUUACUCAACAGGUUUUUGUUGGGUUAAAUUGUGAUUUGGAUGCCAGCAGUCCAGUCUGGGAGCCAAGAGGACUGGGUUGUAAUCAAGGCUCUUGACCUUGUCCAAGCUAAGUAGCCGUACCGAGAGAGCAGUGAACAGGAUAACAGAUAUUUUUGUCUAGUGCUUCUCAUUUGCAAUGUUUCAUUCUUGGCUCACUCACAGUGACCCUGUGAGAUAACCCAAAUGCUACAAGGUAAGCUUCUCAAGGUUAGGUCUAAGACAAAAACAAGCAAACAAAAAAAACAAAAAAAAAAAACCCAAAACAAAACUGGUUAUAAUCAAAAUCUCCCUGGAAACUCCUAUAAAUCAUCCAUAAAGUAGAGUUUAAAUGGCUUUGUGAUUACAACCAAAUGCAGUCAUCCUUGUGAAUUGUGUGGGAUGGAUAUAAUAACAUAUUGCAUAUUACUUAGUGCUUGUACAUAUUCCAAAGUGCAAUAUUAAAUUAUUAACAAUGAUUUAUGUGUUCAGUACAGCAAGGUUUCAAAACCAGGAAGGGGAAGAAGAGCAGUUCCACAUCUUCGGUUUUAGCAUCAGUCUGGGGCACACGUGCACGGAGUGGAUUUAUCAAGCAGAAUCUUCAGGCCUAUUUAAGUUGUUGUUUUUAUUUCUCUCUGUUUUUUACUUAGUGCGAAUGGGUGGAUUUUUGUAAAUUAAGUGUGUGAUGCCCUUCCCCAGUCUUAUUCAAUUCAAAAUGUUGACCAUAGAUUUAGAAAGUGUCGGGCAUUGGGUUGGGUGCAGGAAUUUAGUAGUGAAUGAAAUAGGUAUGAUUUCUAGCCUAAUGGAAUUUACAGUCUUUUGCAGAUUGUUUUAUAGAUAGAGAAACUGAAGCUUAGAGAGGUGACUACCAAAGAUUGCCCAGCUAGUAAAGAGAGGGCCUGGGAUUUGAAUGCACGUCUUUUGACUUUAACCCUGAGCUUUUCCCAGCUACUCCCCAUUGGUUUCCGUGGCAACCAAAGUCACUUCUAAAGCCAAAGUCAGAAUCCUGGAGUCCAUUAUAGAAGAAACAGGCCACUGGAACUGGCUACUUGGUUUGGCAGUUCGGAUCUGGAACUGAGUUCAUAUUUGGUGUUGAAUUUUUCCCUCCAGAAAUGGGGUGGGUUGGAAUGGAAUGGUAAUGAGGGCUCUGUGUGCUCCAGAAGGCCUAUUCCCUAUCCUGCCCACCAGCCAUAAUGGUUGACCACCUUCUUUAAGCCCCCUAUUGAUUACAAAGAGUUGAUUUCUCUUGAUGCCAGUGGCUGAGCCAAGAGCAUGCAGAGCUGAGCCAUGGCCCCCCAAAUUACUGCCUUCCAGAUGAAAUAUGUCAGGCAGCUUUCCCAAGAGCCCUUUUUAAGGACAAAGAGGCUGGUUCCGGGCUUGCAUCUCCUUUGUUUGGUAUCCAGUGUGUGUAGGUUCCUCUCCCAUGGGUACCCCGAGUGGCCUGAACACCAGGGUGCCCCCUCUCCCAGAGUCACAGGCCUUCCAAGAGCCUCUCAGUGUCCAUCCUAGGAGGAGCCUUGAGGACGCUGCCCACGAGACCCAUUUAAAGGCUGUGGUUUGCCCUGGCACUCAGUGUGCUGACCCCGCCCACCCCAGGGGUGGUGGCACCAGACCUGGGGCUCCUCCUGAACUGGGCACUGCCAUUUGGGUGAGUUAAAUAGCAAUCUUCAUAUUGAAAAUAGCGGUGACUCCCCUCCCAUUCCCUAAACCAGGGUAAAUCUUGCUUCAUCUGUUGUUUCAUUCAGGAGACAUCUUCAGUGAGUGGACAUUCAAGUCAGAGGUGAUUCCUUUCUAUCACUCCUGUCAGAAGGAUAAAAACAAGGCAUUUAGCCUGAGGAAAGUUGGCUUCUCGAGUAGACUUGUGUAUAUUCACCCUUUGGAGAAAUGUCACUAAUGGUAUUUUAAUAAUGCUUUAUGUGCCUAGGCACCAGUAAUAAGAAGAACUUAUUAUUUACCAAAGCAACUGCUAGCCCCUUAAUGAUGGACUAAGUAUCAGCUACUGGCAGGAUAUGUAGUGGGUAAGUGCUGUGUAAUUACCAAGCAAAUUCAUCAUUAUUUCAGUCUUAUAAACCAGAAUAUGUGUUAAAUAAUACUUUGGGGCCACUGAAGGUAAUUACUGAGCACCAUCUCUGUAAGAACAUGUAAUUAUCCUACAGUUGCCCUGUGUUUACUAAGCAAAUCUAGGCAAUCAUUAUCUAAAGCCCAAACCCUGCCCUCGGAGCCACAAAAGUGCACCCGAGGGCAGGUCCGUGUUCAGAGUAGAAGCAGCAUGUGCACGGGGUCCUGAAGGAUCAGGGCCUCCUUUUCCCAAUUCCAGCUCUGCCCUCCUUCCUGGACUCCGAAAAGCCACAAGCAAGGCUUUUUGAAAAAAGUCGAUGAUGGUGUCUUCACCUCUCCCCAGCCCAGCCCAUCCCAGCCCCUGCACUGGCCUCCCUGCUGUUCAGACCUGCCAGGCCCUUCCACUAGACCUGCUGGGACCUCAGCAUCUGGCUGCGAAGGGCUCAGUUCAGCAGUUCCAGGACACUCUUUGAGAGGCUCACCUCAUGUCAGGAAUCAUGCUGGGCUCUGAAGACACGGAGAUCAGUGAGACACUGCUUUUGAGGGCCCAGCGGGGAGAGGCAGACAGGUGUCAGGGAGACUGCAUAGCCAGCACCAAGGUCAAGAGCAUGGGCUCUGGAGCCAGCUGCCUGGCUUCAGAUUUGGUUUUUUUGUUUUUUUGCUUUGUUUGUUUAAAUUAAUUUGUAUUGAAGUACAGUUGAUUUACAGCGUUGCGUUAGUUUCUGCUGUGCAGCAAAGUGAAUCAGUUAUACAUAUACAUAUAUCCACUCUUUUUUAGAUUCUUUUCCCAUAUAGGUCCUUCCAGAGUAUUGAGUAGAGUUCCCUGUGCUACACAGUAGGUUCUUAUUAGUUACCUAUUUUCUACCGGGUUCAGAUUUGCGUUUGCAAAGUGGAGCUCAUCAGAGGCCCUCCACUGAAAAAGCACCGUGGCAGUUACAGGGGGAACGCGCUGAGAGCACUGCUGGGUACACCCAGUGGAGGUUCUUUCUGCACCAGCUGGCUAUUAUUUCAAUGUGAUAAACAUGUGCGGAAAUGCACCUACGGAUGGCUCAGCACUCAAACGCCGCCAUGAAAUAGAGCGUUCCCUGAUCCCGCCCAAGAGAAGCGUUCUUUCCUCCCUGGAGUCCCUGGAGCAUACCAUCCGGACGUCUCUUCCGGCAGCUAGCACUUUCUACCAGGCACUGUGUUAUCUGGCGCUGAUCUCCGGACCUCCCUCACUGCGUGUUUUGAGUCCCCAGUUUGGGUUUUAUUCAUCUUUGUGUCUCUAACACCAAGCACAAGACCAGGAGUGCAGUAGGCACUCUUUACAUGUUUG